UACAGAGGUGGCAAGCGUUGUUCGGAAUUACUGGGCGUAAAGGGCUCGUAGGUGGCCAACUAAGUCGGACGUGAAAUCCCCAGGCUCAACCUGGGAACUGCGUCCGAUACUGGAUGGCUUGAAUCCGGGAGAGGGAUGCAGAAUUCCAGGUGUAGCGGUGAAAUGCGUAGAUAUCUGGAGGAAUACCGGUGGCGAAGGCGGCAUCCUGGACCGGCAUUGACGCUGAGGAGCGAAAGCCAGGGGAGCAAACGGG
rnacentral:rRNA from 1 species